GUGGGGAAUCUUGCGCAAUGGGCGAAAGCCUGACGCAGCCAUGCCGCGUGAAUGAUGAAGGUCUUAGGAUUGUAGAAUUCUUUCACCGGGGACGAUAAUGACGGUACCCGGAGAAGAAGCCCCGGCUAACUUCGUGCCAGCAGCCGCGGUAAUACGAAGGGGGCUAGCGUUGCUCGGAAUUACUGGGCGUAAAGGGCGCGUAGGCGGAUCGUUAAGUCAGGGGUGAAAUCCCAGAGCUCAACUCUGGAACUGCCCUUGAUACUGGCGAUCUUGAGUGUGAGAGAGGUAUGUGGAACUCCGAGUGUAGAGGUGAAAUUCGUAGAUAUUCGGAAGAACACCAGUGGCGAAGGCGACAUACUGGCUCAUUACUGACGCUGAGGCGCGAAAGCGUGGGGAGCAAACAGGAUUAGAAACCCGUGUAGUCC
rnacentral:rRNA from 1 species